GAUGAACGCUAGCGGCAGGCCUAACACAUGCAAGUCGAGGGGUAACUAGAGUGAUAGCAAUAUUACUUUGGCUAGACCGGCGCACGGGUGCGUAACACGUAUGCAACCUACCUUAUACUGGGGAAUAACUUCGAGAAAUCGGCGCUAAUACCCCAUAACACUGCGGAGAGGCAUCUCUUUGCAGCUAAAGCUCCGGCGGUAUACGAUGGGCAUGCGUCCAAUUAGCUAGUGGGUGUGGUAACGGCUCACCAAGGCUACGAUUGGUAGGGGUUCUGAGAGGAUGAUCCCCCACACUGGUACUGAGACACGGACCAGACUCCUACGGGAGGCAGCAGUGAGGAAUAUUGCGCAAUGGACGAAAGUCUGACGCAGCCAUGCCGCGUGCAGGAUGACGGCCCUAUGGGUUGUAAACUGCUUUUGUACGGGAAUAAACCCUUCUACGUGUAGGAGGCUGAAGGUACCGUAAGAAUAAGCACCGGCUAACUCCGUGCCAGCCGCCGCCGUAA
rnacentral:rRNA from 1 species